GGAAGAAGGGAGCACAUCAGGCACACUGUGCAGCACUGUCCCUAGGGUAGUGGGAGCGAGAAGUUUGGGAUCUGGGUUUAGUUCUAGGGUCUGAGAAAGUCUCUAGAGUGGUAGGAAGAGGACAGAGGGGGUGGAUGUAGGAAGCAACAGAACUCCAGCAGGGUCUACACUUCCUACUACAGAUUAUCAUUCUGAAUGCAGCUGGGGUCACCUCCCAUGUCAGCUGCAUGUCCACGGAUCCUGUAGGAAUGGGCUGGCUAGGAGCUCUAAGGCUUAGUGCCUGUCCACUCUAACCGUCCACUCUUCCACCUGGCUUCAUUCCCAGGGGAAAGCCCCAAGCAUGGCCCUGUGACUGGCAUGGAAGAGGUAUUCUAAAGUCUAGUGAGACAUGGGCAAAGAGAGAGGGAAGGCUAGAAAGAACUAGAGCAAUGAAGGCCUCAUGAGACAAAUUCUUGGAUAUGACUCUGCAGGAAAACAGGAGCCCAAGGCUCAAACUCCAAUGCCCUUCCCUUCUCCCUGACUCCAGCCCCCUCUGACCUUUCCUUUCACCCAGGACGGCUUUCUCAGGAAGAACAACAGAAGCUCAGAAUCCCACAGGUGGAAGGGAUGAGCUUUAGAGGUCAUUUAGUCUAACCUCUGAGCAAGAAUCUUCUUUACAAGCAACGACAAAGAAUCACCCAGCCUCCAUCUGAAAGACCUCCAGGGACAGGAACUCACUGCCUCCUGAGGAAGCCAACUUCACUUUUAGACAAUUGUCAACACCACAGAAAGGCAGGAAGAGGGAGACCAUCCUUGUCGAAGGAGGAAAACAAGAGCUCAGAUGUGGAAUAUUUCCCUGACCAGGGUGGAGAUUUGGGAGAUCCUGCCUUCAAGUCUGGGCCUUUGGUCACACUUCUAAAGCACAUUAGCACAAUUUGCUAAUGAUUUUCACAACGUGCCCACCAGAGUACUCGACCAACUUAUCUAUUUUGCAGGUGAAAAUAUAGAAACUUAGUCUUAGGAGGCCGCAGAAGUCUGGGAUAUUGCCCCCCCCCGACCCCUUAGUUUAGGCUGCCUCCCUCCCCUCCUUUCCAUUCAUUCACACCCAGUUCCUUCCUACUUUUUAUGGUCCUUCAGCAGGCAGAGUUGGGGGGGGGGUGUUACUCACGCUGGCAGGGAGCUGUGAAGAGGCAAUCAUAGAACAUGAUGCAGCCCAGGGGUGGCCUGCCUGGCCAGCUCCUGGUCACGCCUCUCUGCAGGAGCAGGUGGGAACAAGGACAGCUUUUAUACCAGCAGCCUUGGUGAACUAAUCCCCUCGAGUUUGCUCAAAGCUCCUUGGGCUCUCUCUGAAUAAACAUCCCCCUCAUAGUAGGUACAAAACAAGGAGGGGCCUUUGCAGCACACUGAGAGGUCAGUACCUGGGCUGGGGAGAUGCUAUCGGGAAGGAGGUCAAGUUUCAUGCACAUCUCUCUGAGGUGAUGAGCAGGAGGAGGGGCUAUUUUUUUUCCCCCAAAGAAAAUAAAUCCUCAGCACCUCCCCGCUUCUGCCUCCAGCUCUCUGCAUGAGUUUUUUGGGAUCCUAACCCCUUGAAAGAUAUGUCCCCAGAUGCUGGUGGCAUUUUUUGCCCCCAGUGCUUCAGGGAAAUCUGCUAAUAUCCCGAGUGAAGGUGCCUUUUUGCUAGGCUGAAGGCUUAGAGGGCAAGAACUGGGGUGGGGGUAGGGGGUUGUCAUUUUGCCUUGAGGUAAACUGAGGAUUAAAGCAUUCCAUUUUCCUUGUGUAGGAACAGCCAGUAGGAGUAAAAGGGGCAAAUAAACCUGCUGAAGGGAUGGUGAGGCUAAGUAGAUCACUUCCUGAUCAUCUUCCAGAGGGAGAUGGGAUGAAAGUGCCCAGUACAGGGCCGAUGGUAUCGCCCACAGUUGAAGCCUCUGAAGAAGCUGUUUAAAAGCCCAGGACCUUCAGACUUGCCCUUCUGGCUUCAGGCAUGAUGGAGCUCUUUGGAGAUGAUGCCAUGGGAAGCUGCUGCAAGCUGGGUCCAGGCCAAUUAGGUACAAUCUCGUUAUCAAGAGAGUUUGCAUGCUGAUCUGAUGAGAAAGAGAGCAGUCAAACCCCACUUCGGCUCAGUGCUGGGGGAAGGGAUGGUCCUCAGAGGAUGAUGAUGACAGGCAAUACUUAUUGAAAUAGUUCUGGCAUCCAGAGUCCUCAGGAUAGCCUACAAAAGCAUCAGUUUCUGGAUUUAGCUUAAUUGCUUUCUUUUGGGUUUUAUUUGGGCCUCUCCUUGGCAUCCUUGUGGGGCCUCAAGGGAAGAGGCAUUUAAUGACUCCAGCCCAACUGGUAAGGCUGGGAGCAACCUGAGAAAGCAGUAUGCCACGUGAGGCUCCCCACACACCCAGGUGUGUGGGUGACCUGAGCCGGGACGCUGUGUCCCCAGUCAAAGGGAUGGGCCAUCAACUAAGCCGGCAAUGGAGGGGUGGGGCUCUGGCUUGGUUCAGUGUUGUGCCUCCUAUCUCACAGCUCAGUGCCGGGCUAGUGGCAUCUUUGGCUGCCUGAAGAGGUCCAAGAGGGACUGCUGGGCAAGACCCAAAGUUAACAGCAGCUGUCAUUUUUUCCCACAAGUCCUCAUUGUUUCUACUUGAGGCAAAGCACAGGAAGAGGAAUGUUCACCGCCACCAGGCUAACGGUCAAGAGUCCUUAGGCCUGGGCUGAGGCUCUAAUUGGUUUGGUUGGUUUUCUAGAAGUACUAAGAACCCUAAGAGAAGUCAGCAACCGGUAAGUGAGCUUCCUAAUAAUUUCAGGCUUUUUGCUUCACACAUAUGUGUAUAUGCCCCAAAGGCAUCUGUGGAUCUAUGCUUGCAGGGAUGCUCUCGUGUGUUUGUGUGUGUGUGUGUGUGUGUAUGUGUGUAUAUGUGUGCAUGCGUGCACACAUCUGUGGCCACGGCUAUGUGACUACAUCCUCCUGUGUUCUGAUGGGUGUGUCUGCAACUAUGUGAGUGUAUAUGGAUAGUCUGAAUGUCUUUGUUUGAAUCGUGAAAGUGGGUAGGGGGUAGGCAGGUAUUUCUCCUCAGCCUCCUGACCUACCAUGCUCUCCUCAUGUACACCCCUCUCUAUAGGCACAUCUGUGCUCCACCUUCCCUGCUUCCAGCUUCCAGCUGUCCAUGGAAGAGGAAUCGGACUUAUCCUGCGUGGCCUCAGGGGUCAGAACAAGGAGCCACCUCUUGUUCUGCAUCUGCAGAGGCAGAGUCUAGCCAGAUGAAAAGAAAAACUGACUAGUGGUUACAGCUGUUCAAAAGUAGAAUAUUUUGCCUUAGAAAGUAGUGAGUUGCUCAUAACUGUAAGACUUCAAGAAGUGGAGGCUACAUGAUCCUUUGUCAGGCAUAGCAUAGAGGGAAUUUCUCUUCCAUUCCAAUCCUGAAAUUCUGUAAUUCUGUGGUCUGUGGCUAUGUCCUCCUCUACACACACGCAUCUCUCUGAGUAGGUCUGUCUGUAGCUUUCUGUGUAUGUAUGGAUGAUUUGUGUGAAAGGACCUCUCCCAAGAGGCCUCAAGUCUUGAAGUUAAUAACCAGAAUGCUUGGUGUCACAAUGGUGGAUUACAUUGAAUUCCUUUUCACUCAUCAGUGUUCUUCAGCUUUCCUAUGGAUGUGCUGUGUGGUCCCAAGCCGGCUUGACCUCAGGUGCCUUAUCUGAAUAUGAGAAGUGACUCUUUCAGUGAGAGAAGGAUGUGAGGGUGAAUUAGAUUUCCAGUUAAAGUCUUUGACUUUCUUAGGCAAAGGGAUCCUUUAUAGACAGGGGACAGCUAGUCCAGAAAUCAGGGCUUGACUCUGGGCCAUAUAGUUCAAUGCAGACUCUGUGAUGCUACCAACCUAGAGAUCUGAUACUCCCAUUGGGGAGUUGGUUUGGGGGGAGAAAAAGGUUCCUGGAAAUGGAGCUGUUCUUGGCUCCUAAUUAAAAUUCCCAUUGCUCAUAGGACCUGGGCAGUCUCCUGGCUCCCAACCUAAGUGUGUCUGUAGCUUUCACAGAAGCCAGGCGAGCCAGGAAUCAUAAAGGUCUGAGGCUUUCGGCCCAGCUCUGCCCCUUAUAUCCAAUACAAUCUGAGCCUUAGGCCAUUGCUUUUUAAGCCUGUUUCCUAUCUGUAGUGAGGGCUAAUUUUUGAUGCUGCUCAUACAGAGACGGAGGGUAAAAAAGGCCAGGUGUCUAGGGAAAUAGGUACAUAAGACACCUAUAGGAUGCAGAAUACCCAUAGAUCCACCUGCCCUUCUACUGUUAGAAAUAACAUGGAAAACAGAUAAGGGACAUCCUCCAGUGAGCUGGAGACUGGGGUGGGGAUGGAAUAGGGGGGUGUUGUACUUUACAGAGAGAUAGAUUUCAGUUAAAUAUAAAGAAAAACUUCCUACCAAUCAGAAUUUUCCAGAUACCAUGACUAUCCCAUACAACCUCUUCUGAUCCUAGCAAGGACAUUCAAACUUUCUCCCCAUACAGAAAUAGAUUUCCAAGACAGCCCAAUACAAAAGAAAUAAAGAUUAGAUGUAAAUUGUAUGACAUGUCAUCUUGGCCCACUGCCUUAUUUCUCUGCAGCUCUUGGUACCAAAGUUCGUAAAAGUGAAAGAAAGCAUCAUUCAAUACAGUCUUAACACUGACAAGUUGGUACCAAAGGGCUACUUUCUUUCCUCCUGAGGAACUAGGGGACCCAGAAUGCACAUCCUAUCCUCAGCUGGACAUCCAGCCUCUCUGGGCACAGAGCCCACUGUCAUCUACAGUACCCUUCCUCCCUCCUGCUCAGAUUUCUUUGAAAAGUUUGGCUGCCUCUGAGAACAGAGAUUGAUGAAUUCAGAGUACUGUUCCCAACUGUGAGUAAUUUGAUCUUUGCCAGUAUCAUCUUUAAAGUCACCUCCAGAGCAGAUUGGCUGGGGACAGGAUUCUGUUGUUAGUCUAGUCGGCUUUUCAUUUUUUCCUCAACUUGCCUCCAGUUUGUGUGUUCCGGGUCUUACUCUAGAGAACCAAUGCCGGGGGGCCCCUCCCUUCCCUGCUCUGAUCCCUGGAUAAUUUCCAAUUGCUUCUGGCCAUGGAAUAGACCUGGACAGUUCUUAGCCCACAAGAUCUGGCAGUCCCUGAGCCUGAGCCAGUCUCCUGUGGUAAGGUACCUGAGGGUGCCCCUGUGGAAAUGUUUUGCCCUAGAUGAACAACUUGAAUAGUUAGGACCAAAAUACCUCAAAGCCGCAUUCAUUCCUUCAGAAGGUUGGCAAGUAGAUAUUUUGUCCCAGUGAAGGCCCAUGAGACUGACAAAAUAGUUUUGGAUGAACAUAUUUGCCCCACCAGUCUCAUUAAGUGAUAAGGUUGAAAGAGAUCCUAAAGGCUGGUGCGUCACUUAACCCAGUCGAGGCCUCCUCUACAGUAUCCAGUAAACGGCUCCAUCUUUCCUCAUUACACACUGAAGCAUCUAUUCCAUCUCUAGAUGGCUCUAAUUGUUAAGAAGUUUUCCCUGAGACUGAGCUGAAAUGUCCCUCUGUAACUUUCACCUCCCACCCCACCCCCCAUUGGUCCUUGCUAUAAGUCUGAGCCUUCAUUCAGUCUGUAAACACCCGAAGAUGGCAAUCCCAGGACUCCAUUAAAUACUCUCUUCUCUCAGCUGAACAUUUUCGGUUCCUCUAACCCACCCUAGGCCAGCAUGGUUGCGAGCUCUCACCAUUCCAGUAACUGUCUUCCAGACCUAGUCUCGUUCCAUUCAUCCCUGGCUGUAGAUGUGGUCUAACCAGGGAAAAGCACAGUGGCAUCAUCUGACUUCUCGUCUUGGAAGCUGCUCUGCCUGCUAACGCAACCUGAGUUGUGUGUGUAUCUUUUGGCUACAACAAUGCAGAUUCCCAAGGAGCUUUGAAUCACUAAGAUCUGUUCAGUCUACCUGCAAUCUCAGUUCAAACCAUCUACUAUGUUGACUACUCCUCUCAUUUGACAAUUACUAGGACACACACAAUAAGUAUGCCAUUUAGACCUUCAUCCUAGUCAUGUUGGCUGGAAAAGAGGCAAAGACAAUUUCUACAGAGGCCUCAACUGAGCAAUAUAACAGCAGCCUAUGGUGGGGUGAGCUCAGUAACACCUUCAGGGGACUGUUACUGGACUGCAAGCUUACCUUACUCAGUAACACCUGAAUUUGGGGUGUACCCAAUCAAAGCUGACAAAGAUGGCAAAAGGAAUGAAAUCCCAUCAAGCAGACCUCAUCCUCUAAGUCUGCAUCAUAAGUAAUAACUUCUCCCAGGCUGGGACUCACUGCCCCAGUCUUGCAAGAUUCUCCUGAUCUUCAUCUUCAUCCGUAUGGCCCUUCACUAACUAAAACUUCAAACAUGGAGACUUCCCUAUGUAUCCUUCAUAUCCGUUACCCAAAUGUACAAGAUACCUAGUGAGAACACCGAUCCCUACAGAAAUAUACUCUUUAAAACUUC